CAGGACCAUGAUGCCUGCAGCAGGAAGUGAAGGAACGAGAUCAGUGAUGGAGAAGAUGAGCUCUGAAACCAGCGACUCCAGCGACUGCUACAGGAGCAGCAGGAAGUCCUUCAGGACCUUCAGCAGGAGAAACUGAAGGAGGCUGAAGUGAGGCGACAAACAGACGGACCAGAUGAAGCUUCUGAAGGAGAAACUGAAGGAGAGCCGUCGAGAGAACGAGGUCUCAGAGCAGAAGGUCAAGAGCCCUGGAG